GGGGAAUUCACCCAGGAGAGGGAAGCCUGCUAGUGUCGACCCCUCAGCCUGCGGUGUUAGAUUUUACAUAUACAACAAAUAACCAGGAAAAGGUCAAGAAAACCGGUUAUUUGGGCCGUUAUAUCCAAAACUGACUACUGAAUAUCUCAGCAAUGUUGUUAUCUAUGAACCCAGAACUUUCCAGUCUGGAGCUGUAGUAUAAGCAGCACCAAGGGAACUGCUCCAGUUGCCUAGGGAUCACUUGCUGAUGUCAUGCAACCGUCUGCCCUACAUCAGAUGCUCUGGAGAAGCGGUGAUGCUGUUACUAACAACUCCACAGACCUCUUUAUUUCAAAGAGAACCAAGCAGAGAUUCUGGGCUGACUUUGGAAUUGUUCAUUAGUUCUCAAGCUUUCUUAAAGAGCGGUUUGGCCCUAUAAUAGCUAGAAAAGUCAAAAGCAAAGUUUUUGAUUAGCUUAGCCCUUCACUUGAAGCCAGUGGGAGAGAUGGGCCCGCUUUCUUAGUAACAGCAAAACACUGAGAAACUGAAACUUUUACACAUUGAGUUUAAGUCUGUUUUUGAUAUUUUCUACACAACUGUGUUAUACGCUUAUUAGAAAAUUCUUAGAAGAGUUCAGAAGAGACUGAAGAUGGAAAGAAAAGCCACUGAGAAGCCUGACCUCCAGAGAAAAUCACUGUUGAAUUUUCGUGUCUUUAGUCUACAUUUCUAGGGUGUUCCCAAAAUGGGCACCCUGCAAAUACCAUUUUGAAGCUUCCUGUUUAACACUCAGCAUCAGGCUAUGGCUACUUUUUCAUAGUAACAAUUCUUCAGUAACAUAAUUCCUACCGCCUCUCUAACAUAGCAUUGUAUAGAAUAAUAAUAUAACAGUUUAAAGCCAUUCUGCUUGUUGGCUAUUUGUCUUAUUCUACUUGCUGCUGUUAUAAUGUUUCAAUAAUCAUCAUUGUGAAAAAAUGUUUUAUACAAACAACAUCACCAUCACCUUAGAAAAAGCUCCUAGGAGUAAAAUCACUGGGUGUGGGUCAAAGGGUAUGCCUACUUUGAAUACUUUUGAUAGUAUUUUCCAAAUUGCCUUUCAGAAAAAUUGCCUCAAUUUAUACUCCCACAAGAAUACAUAAAUGUAUUUCUGUAGUCAAGCCAAUACCAGAUGGCCUAAUUUAAAUAAACAAUUUUAUUAUAUUAAGA